rnacentral:tRNA from 2 species
UCUACCAAAGGAUAGUAGUAUUCCACUGGUCUUAG